GGCGGGAGGCGGUCCUGGGGCAGCGGGUCGUGCGCUGCGCGCAAAGCCAGCGGGAAGGCCUCGGCUAGCUUGGUGUUGUUGGGCAGGCCGUGCACGCGGCUGUCGGGCAGCGGCGUGCGGUGGCGGCACACCGGGCACGCGAUGGCGCCGGGCGGGCAGAGCCAGGGCGGCGGGCGCGGCGGGCGCUCAGGCGCGGCGGCAGCGGCGGCGGCGGCGGCGGCGCGGAGCUGCAGCUGGCUCAGGCACUCCUGGCAGAAGGUGUGCAAGCACGCCAGCAGCUUGGGCGCGCGCCGGUCCGCGUCGAAGUAGUUGUAGCAGAUUUUGCACUCGUAGUCCUCAAGCGGAGGGAGGCCGGAGACCGUCUCCGCUGCGUCCCGGGCUCCUGCGUCUCCGCAGUCCGGGGCUCCCUUCGCGGCGACCCCAGCUCCCUCCCGGCUCCCGGGGCUGCUGCUUGGGCUCUGCUGGCUGCCGCCGCUGUCGCUCGCCGGCGCUGCCAUGGCAUGAUCCGCCCCUCAUCGGGGGCAAGCCAGAGCUCACCAGUGAUGUAAUGCGGGACCCGCGCGGGGAGGGGAAACGGCAGCCUCAACCGCCUGGCAGCGGCGGUUUCUUCUCUUCGUGAAAAUCGUGAUCUCAUCUCUCCGUCCAUGGGCGAAAAAACAGCCAUCACCAGGCCAUUCACGCUUUGUGCUUUUGUUAGCAGAGCCCAGGCAGCCCUGCAGCCCACAUCUAGGGUACAAACGGAACGGCGGCGUUUUCCUUGUAUCAUUUAGAGGAAAUUUUUGAGCUGAACAGUAUUUUUUUUCUCCCUCUCUCUCUCUCUGAAAUAUUGCUGAGAUUUAAAGGAGGACGAAGACAACAGAUUCAUAGCUGGGUCUUGCUGUUUUCCUGACGCUGACCACAGCGGAUCUAGGUGGCUAUUUCGUUGGUGCACAGGCGUUCACAGAGGCAGAGAGGGGAGAAAGUUGUCAAACAGAUUCACAGACUGUCAAAGUGCGGCUUAAACCGAGUUCCUGGGCUCCCUCACUGGCUUCGUCCACUUAAACUUUUAACGUACACAUGUAGAGAGCUGAAACUCCAGGGGUAACAUGGGACAGGUCCUCUUGAUUUAAUGAAAACAGAAGAUCAACUGGACCGGGUAGCAAGAAAUAAGGCUUAAGAAGCACUGGGUUGGGCCUCACCCUAUGAGCAGGGAACCCACCUUCCCCCUCAACAAAAGAAAAGAUGACUUUGGAAUGUUCUGGAUUCCCACAGCUGGGAAUGUUCCUACUUUUUUUUCAGUUUCUCUGCAGAAGACAGCAAGAUGCCCCAGGGAAUGUUUGUGAAAAAGGAUGACUGGAUGGGAAGCAAGCUGAAGAAAAAGAAGGAAAGAAAGAGAGAAAUCAGUAAAUCACCACACAAGAGGUGGAGAAGAGGACUUAUAAAUAUUGUUUC
rnacentral:lncRNA from 1 species